AACGAACGCUGGCGGCAUGCCUAACACAUGCAAGUCGAACGAUGCUUUCGGGCAUAGUGGCGCACGGGUGCGUAACGCGUGGGAAUCUGCCCUUGGGUUCGGAAUAACAGUGAGAAAUUGCUGCUAAUACCGGAUGAUGUCUUCGGACCAAAGAUUUAUCGCCCAGGGAUGAGCCCGCGUAGGAUUAGCUAGUUGGUGGGGUAAUGGCCUACCAAGGCGACGAUCCUUAGCUGGUCUGAGAGGAUGAUCAGCCACACUGGGACUGAGACAAGGCCAAGACCCCAAGGGGGGGGAGGAGGGGGUGAAGUGUAACACGGGGACAAAUCAGGACCCACCACAUCCGGGUUAGCGUGGAAGCCGUAAGGGUUCUAAGGCUCUUUUACCGGGGUGUAUAUAGCAGGAACGGGAAAAAAAACCCCGGACAAACCCGGG
rnacentral:rRNA from 1 species